AAUUUCCUUGCUUUUAAGAAGUCGUGCUGUGUUUGAAAAAGAUUUAAAUUACUGAGGUUUCACUCUUCAGGUGCUUUUUCCUCAAUUUGGAUACUCUAAUACUAUCAUUUUCAAGACCAGAAAAUGCUCAUAACAGGAACAAUUGUUGAAGAAAAGACAGACCCAGAAGAUGACGUGACUUCCCACUGCUUGAUAUAAAUCUUCUCUGAUACAAAAUGAGUUGAGCUGCAGUGAACUUAAAUGCUAAUGCUGAAGACAUCAAGUAACCUGCUGUUUAGUAUCAGAAAGUUUUAACUUUGGCUGACUCCAGCAUCUUCCUUGUUCCACGAUUUGUAUGGCUGGCACCUGUAGCUGUACUGGGGAAUUACUCAAGUGCCAUGGUCUCCUCAAAUUGGAUUCCCUCUUGCAACUUUGUCUAAGGCUGUUUGGAAAUGGAAAUUAAUAUCAAUACAUUCUCCUUUCACUGGUGUUUUGGUGCACUUUUCAGGAAGCAUGAAGUAAAGGAAUGACAGGAUUUUUCUUUACAAAAGUGCAUCUACACACUGAUUUAGCAAACUGCAUAUGAAAGGAGGGAUGUAAACAGACUUUGACUGUGCCUAUAUGGAGAUCUUGGACCCUGUCAUGCCUUGUAUUGACCUGGAGGUCAACCAGAACAUGCUUAUUCUGGAGCAGAACAAUAAAAUGGAGAUAACAGAACAGGAACCUGAUCCCUUGGCUGAGUAUAAACUGUGUGUCAUGUAGCCAUUAUGUCCAGUGCUUGUUUCAUAGCUAUGGCAUCCCAUCUGAGAUAUAACAUCUGAUUGUGAAGUGUCUGAUGUCUGUCUCAGGGCAAGGUGAAGCAAGCCUUAACUACAGUUGGCUGUUUAGGAUACCUAUCAAAGUUCUGAAACAGACUAAAAAUGCCAGUCCAUUUGUGCUGGAAGAUGGUUCAAAAGGCUGCUCUUCAUCAUUUCUCAACUGUUCGUUGACCUUCCAGCUGAGAUGAGAGGUGGUGCAGACCCAUGGUACACAAUAGCAGGUCAAGUGUAAACAUAAGAUUGAUGCAAUAGCAAUUUGCCAUGGAGAAGAGUGAGAUAAAGUAUGUAUUCAGAUAGUCCUAGAGAGAGUUUUUCAUGUCACUUGGAGCUUGUUUAGUUUGUCUAGUAAAGAGAUAAUACUUAUGCGGAUUUUAGUGGUCUUUUAUUUAAAAAGUCUUGCAGUAGGAUUACUGCUUUUCUGUGCUUUGGAAUGGUAUUAAUAACUCUCUGAAUGCUGUGGGGAUCCAUGCUUAAUUCAUGUAACAGUUAUCAGCUUAAACUUGAGGUUGAUUUAUUCCACUUGCAAGCUGUAGGGUAUGGGAAGUUGCUUUCUGCACAGAAUGGGUUAUGUGUAGCUUAUGGAAGGACAGAAAUUCUUUGUGUAAAGUGUGAGGAUAACUGCUCAGACUGUCUCGUCCAAUGAUUGAAGCAGUGGUAAUUUAUCACUUUGGAAGAAAAAAAAAUAAAUUGUGGAUUUAAAAAAAAAAAUUUUUAUUCACAUAAAACUCAGAAUUGACUUCGUGUAAAAGUGUCAAACUUACUUUACAGUCUUACUUUCAUCAAUGUUACCUUGGCUGUCCUGUAUUAGACUUUCCAAUAAUACAUUCUAUGUGAGCAGUUGAGCAUGAUUGAUGGUGUGUGGAUUUUUCAGCAGCAACUGGGACUAGUGGCUACAUAUAACUAGGCAAGAAUUUGUUUAGUCAUGGAAACAGUAAGAGGAGAUGUAUGCACAGUGUAUAUACACAUUUUUCUGUGGACUACUGAUGCUGAAUUUAUCACUCUUCCAGUUUAUCACAGUUCCAGUUCAGUUUAUGAUAUUGACAUCCCAAAUAAUAAUAAAAUGGUAAAUCAAAUUUUUAAGGUAUCUAAGUACACUCAGUUGUGUCUGGUUUUGUUGCUACUACUAUAAAUUUUGGUUUGAAGGGGAAAAUUAAGUUACUAAAUUUUCCUUUUCUCUCUGUCACCAUCAGUUGUCUCCACCUUUUCUGCAGGACUGUUACCAGUAUUCCCUUUAUGCAAUUUUUCCUGUUUUUAGGUCAUUGUUAUCUGGCAUCA